UUGCAUUUAUAACAGUCAACCGUGACCCUCUUUUCGUCGUGCGUUCGCCAUUGAGUUAUCAUAUUGGAGUGCUAUUAUUACAUAAUUAAAUCACGGAGUGAGUGAGUGUUGAAUACAAAUGAGGCGUGAUCGGCACGAAAUUCCUGAUGGGGCAACGAAAAAUUGAGACUUUCCAAGGAAGAGCAUUUAAUCUAUUGUUCGUAACUGGUACUUAUCUAAAGUUCUGAGGCGUAGAUAAGAGUAAUUCAAAUAAAGAUUGCGUACAGACGAAAAGGAUGGAAAGCAGAUAUUUGUAUUUAGGAGAAUCGCUUUGAAAAUUCCGGUGUCGAUUAUUUUUCGUCACAAUGGCGUAUGGCUUAGUGAAUUUCUGGAGAAUUAAAUGACUGAAAAUAAAAAUGGUUUUUUCAGUGAUCAUCUAGUGGAAACGUACAUAAUCAUCAUCGAGUUGGAAUCGCGUGUGAAGAAACUUCUCGUGUAGUUUUCCAAGUGUACAACAAAGUAAGGAGUAGGCAAUGCGAACGGAAGUCCGCCUCGGUGAUGAGCGAAGGAAUGGUCCGUUAUCGAUAAUGGAUCCAUUGUCCUACAUGUCGAGAAGCAUGAAUGGUCUCAUGGAACGAUCGGAAUCAGGCACGAGUACUGAGGGUGUGCGGUACGUUUAGGUGAACGAUUACCGGUAAGAUGAGACAUGAGAGACAUAGGAUGAAGGAGGAGCAGGAAGAAGAGAACAAAAACACACGUCCGAGGUCAUCGAAUGGGAAAAGACGGUGGGCAAUAAGUGCUGGGCUGCCCUACGGACCGUGAACGAACACUGCAAGCCGAGCAACAAUUUUAUAAUUAUUGUUCUAGGUAUAUCGGUACUAUUUUUAGGUUGUAGAUCUUAGCUAGAGACAUUGUAGAUCAGUGCUUGGAGAUGUCGAGUGUUUUACCUUGCAACUUCGCAAUGAUUUUACCAUUGAAACGUGCAAUUUUUCAGAGAAUAGCAAUGACUUAUUUUCAGGAGAAAGUUAUGUUCCAUUAUUUCAGGAUAUUUUUGGAUAUCAGUGAUUGAGAAUGAAAUUCCUUCAAAAGAUUCUUCAAUUAUUAUCGGAAGAUCUCCUUUCGCCCUGAUAAACUUAUCGAGAGCGCAUUUGGGUAAUCCAUCCGAUACAUCCCGAAUUAACACGUCAAUCAGUGAUAAUCCCUUAUAAUUUUCAAUAAUUAAUGAACACCCAUGAAGACAGAAAGAAUUCAAGACAUGAAACUUGGAAUAAAAUGGACAACCGAUGUUUUUGGUGAAUUGUUUGAAAAA